AUUGAACGCUGGCGGCAGGCCUAACACAUGCAAGUCGAGCGGAUGAAGGGAGCUUGCUCCUGGAUUCAGCGGCGGACGGGUGAGUAAUGCCUAGGAAUCUGCCUGGUAGUGGGGGAUAACGUCCGGAAACGGGCGCUAAUACCGCAUACGUCCUGAGGGAGAAAGUGGGGGAUCUUCGGACCUCACGCUAUCAGAUGAGCCUAUGUCGGAUUAGCUAGUUGGUGGGGUAAAGGCCUACCAAGGCGACGAUCCGUAACUGGUCUGAGAGGAUGAUCAGUCACACUGGAACUGAGAAACGGUGCAGACUCCUACGGGAGGCAGCAGUGGGGAAUAUUGGACAAUGGGCGCAAGUCUGAUCCAGCCAUACCGCGUGGGUGAAGAAGGUAUUCGGAUUGUAAAGCCCUUUUGUUGGGAAAGAAAAGCAGCACGGUAAUACCCCGCUGUUCUGACGGUACCCAAAGAAUAAGCACCGGCUAACUUCGUG
rnacentral:rRNA from 1 species